GAAGCGCCUGUGCAUUGUAUGUAGUAACGCGAGUGCUUUCCGUGUGCCGUCAGCUCCCUGUCUGCUUCGUACAAAGCCAACUUGGUCUGAGUGUACUAUGGUCGGCAGUAUAGAUGUCAUUCUAUUGGCAUAGAUUUUGGCCAGGAUCUUCACGUCCGAAUUCAAUAAGGAGAUCGGUCUGAAAUUCGCGCAUUGGGUUGGUGAUUUGCCAGGUUUGGGCAGGGUGGCC